rnacentral:rRNA from 1 species
CCUACGGGCGGCAGCAGUGGGGAAUAUUGCACAAUGGGGGAAACCCUGAUGCAGCGACGCAGCGUGAGUGAAGAAGUAUUUCGGUAUGUAAAGCUCUGUCAGCAGGGAAGAAAAUGACGGUACCUGACCAAGAAGCUCCGGCUAACUACGUGCCAGCAGCCGCGGUAAUACGUAGGGGGCAAGCGUUAUCCGGAUUUACUGGGUGUAAAGGGAGCGUAGACGGCAGGGCAAGUCUGUAGUGAAAGGCGGGGGCUCAACCCCCGGACUGCCCUGGAAACUGCCAGGCUGGAGUGCAGGUGAGGUAAGUGGAAUUCCUGGUGUAGCGGUGAAAUGCGUAGAUAUUAGGAGGAAUACCGAUGGCGAAGGCGGCCCCCUGGACGAAGACUGACGCUCAGGUGCGAAAGCGUGGGGAGCAAACAGGAUUAGAUACCCCUGUAGUC